AGAGUUUGAUCAUGGCUCAGAUUAAACGCUGGCGGCAUGCCUUACACAUGCAAGUCGAACGGCAGGCACGGGGGCAACCCUGGUGGCGAGUGGCGGACGGGUGAGUAAUGCAUCGGAACGUGCCCUGAAGUGGGGGGAUAACGCAGCGAAAGCUACGCUAAUACCGCAUAUUCUGUGAGCAGGAAAGCAGGGGAUCGCAAGACCUUGCGCUUUGGGAGCGGCCGAUGUCGGAUUAGCUAGUUGGUGGGGUAAAGGCCUACCAAGGCGACGAUCCGUAGCGGGUCUGAGAGGAUGAUCCGCCACACUGGGACUGAGACACGGCCCAGACUCCUACGGGAGGCAGCAGUGGGGAAUUUUGGACAAUGGGCGGAAGCCUGAUCCAGCCAUGCCGCGUGAGUGAAGAAGGCCUUCGGGUUGUAAAGCUCUUUCGGCGGGGAAGAAAUUGCUUGGGUUAAUACCCUGAGUAGAUGACGGUACCCGAAUAAGAAGCACCGGCUAACUACGUG
rnacentral:rRNA from 1 species